GGGAGGUCAGGCAGCUUAGGGAAGGGGUGGCAUCUCUGUCCUUCCAUUUCUUCAGUCAGAGGCUAGAUGACCCACUGCCCCUCUCUGGGCCUCAGUUUCCUUCUCUCUAAAAAGUGUGGGGGUUGGGCCAGAGGCCUCCCAAGUCCCUUCAGAUUCUAAAGUUCUAUGGUUCUAGCAUCACUUAAGAGCCUCUGCCCUGGUCGUGGCUCAUUUGGAAUUCGCACACUGAACCCUGGGCUGCCUUCUGCACUGCACUUCCCUCUUCUUGGCCGUGCUCACAGGUUUGUGAGAAGCAACGAGAUGCCGGUGGAGAAGCUGGGCCAGGACCCCCGGACCCUCCUGCUGACCUCAGGACCGAGCUACCCCUUGGAAGGCCCAAGCAACGCCAUCUGCCCUCCUGCCUCCGCCGCCAGGCCAGGCCCCGUGAUCCCUGCCCUGGCGCCCUGGCCCGACAACUUCCUGCUGGGCCCCUGUGAGCCCCUGCCGGGCCAGGUCCAGGAAGCAGCCUACGGCCAAGCACUGGAGCUCCUGCCACCCGUGCCAGGAAUGUCGCACGAGCCGGCUGCCACAGGGGCGCUCUCCCCUGGACCCCUCUCUGCCUUCUGGGAUCCCAGGUCCUCAGGUUUCCAAGCUCCAGCGGGCAGGAUUGCCCCCAGGGUGGGCAUGGACCCCCGCCCUGAAGUGGUCCUCGGCCAGCCGGGCUUAGAGGUGGGCAGCUUCAUGCUUCGAGAACAGCAGCUCAGACCCCUCGAAUGCGUCCUUCCACAAAGUUCCUCAGAGAUGGGGAUGGAGAAGCCGCCGAGCCCGCGCCAGAUUUCCAGCCUGGAUGAGCCCCGGGACAUGGAGUACGGCCAGAAUAGCUCCUUCCCUCGCCGACUCCGGGCCGACCCUCCUUCGCCUCUGCGGGAGGCUCCUCCAGAGGAGGGGGGUGACGUCGCCCGCUUCUCGCCCCCCAGAUCCACCUGGCCCCUGCGGGGAGCGCCGGCGCAGCCUUGGAGGAUCUGGAUGUGAGCAAAGAGGAGGCGGAAGCAGUGACUUCUGUGCGGGUGAGUGGGCGGCCUCGCGGGAGGGUCUCCUUCCCUGGGCGCCCCCAGGCCUGCCGGCUUCCAGGGGCUGGCCCUGUGCGGCCGCCCCCUGCCCCGCUGCUGCCUGGGCCUGGGAAACGAAGCCGGGGCAGCUCCCCGGCUGCCAGGGUGCCUCAGCGUCCCCGCUGGGUGACCCCGGCCGCCUAGCGCCACUGGGAUGGAUCGGAAGGGGGUAAAAAAGCAAAGGGUGCUUCUUCAGGCCUGCGGGCAGCCUGAGGCCCGGGAGGGGAAGGAACAUGGCCCGAGUCUCCUCACUAGCGAAGGCUAAGCAGGGCUUGUUCCCAUUGUGGUCUGACAGGGCCAGGCAUGCAGCUGGGGCUUAGUCAGUGCUGGGUUCGGGGCCCUCCUUUGACCCAUGCUGGAUGUGUGACCUCGGGCGAGUCAUUUUCCGUCUCGCCGGUCUAGGCAGCGGAGAUUCCAGGGUACCGAGUGCUUUGCGCCAAGCCCGCACUGGCUCGUUCAUGAAUUCACAGACUGUAGCGGAGGGAAUUUCCUCCUCUGGGAGUCGCCGAUAUCAGUGUCAGGGAAAUCACAGGUCCGGGGCCCCCUCUUCCCAGCUGCCCUCCAUCCACCCCGAGCUUCCUUCUUUUCUGGGUAGCCGUCUCAGAGCCUGGAUCUCGGGAGAAUGAAGCCGGCUUGCCCCAAAGUGGGAGCGAGCUCCCCAUCACAGAGGAGUUCUUUGGACUCCUCAUUAGGGAUUCUGCAGAAGGAGGGGAGGCUUUAAAGGGAGGAAGGUGCCUCCGGGCGUUCAGACGCUCCCCCUCAUUGUACAGGGGAGGAAACCAAGGCCAAGAACGUCAGAACGGCGUCUUGUGGCCGUGCGGCUAGUCGGUGUCGGGCAGCCCGUAGGAGGUCCAGCCUUUGGGGACUUCCGUCCCACCCCCGGGGUUUCACAGAGGAGGAGAGAGUUCUGGGAAGCGACGGCUCGCCCGCACCGCUCCCCCAGGCGGAGCUCUGACUGUGUGUCUCAUGUUCCAGGUUCCGGGGGAGUCCCUGAACGAGCAGAACUCCAGCGACACUUUCUGGGCCGCUCUGCUGCUCUUCGAGUUUUCUGGGGGCAACCGCGUGUGAGGCGCUCCUGCUUGGCUCAGCUUUCCUCCAUGUUGGAGAGGAAUGCCAAAGCCACCCUUGCGGCUCCCCGGGGCCAGGUUUCUGUUCCGAUGGUGAAUCUGGGGGGCCUGUUGGCCCCUCCAGCUUGGUUUGUUACGGUGUUUCCAGGGAGGGCAGUUUGGCUCUCCCGAUUUGUCAGCUUCUCGUUCACAAGGAUGCUGUGUCCAGGCAGACCCUCGGAGGUGGGCCUCCCGUGGGGCCCAGUUUGGUCCUGGCUAAUUUUUUCCUACGUGCCUAAGGUUAGAGGGAGGCUCCGUCCUUGCCUCCAGGGUUCUGGGUCCUCCUUGUUUCCGUCUUUACUGCAAGCUUCCAAGAGAGCGAAGGAAGCCCAAGGCUCUCGAACCCUAGCAUCAGCCGCCCUCCAGGUUGGCUCUUGCCGUCCUUCUCAGGGAAAACCACCAGCCGGGCUGUUGGUCCUCUUCGGGGCAUCAAGACCAGGAUUGUCGAGGCUCCUGCAGGGGGCCCCCUUUUGUGGCAAUCCUGGUUUGGGGGGUCAGGAAGAAGGGGGAGAUGUUGACUUCCAUUUCUGAUGAAGUACGUUUGCCAAAUAAAGGUUGUUGAAAGCACA
rnacentral:lncRNA from 1 species